UAUUAUCGUCGAAAUGUUAUA
ensembl:piRNA 21ur-8240 ncRNA